ensembl:lncRNA
AUUGUGAUGACCAGCAGUUUCUAACAAUGGAAUUGCCCUCCUACAAUGAUCUAGUCUAGUAACUGAAAGCAUUACUUCCAUUUUUGCUUUCACAUCCUGCUCCUGUACAGAGAUAAUUUAAUCAACUAGCCAGAUCUGAAAGACUGGCAUGGAUCACAGUGCAAAAAGACUUCUGACUUUUUGUGACCUUGCUUCAUUGGAUCUUCUGCUACCCCUGAGAGUUGUUUCACAUGGAUCUAAGAAUAGUAUCACCAUUUUCCAUCUCCUCCAAGUUCUGAUGCUCUUAUGGCAUCAAUUCUGCCCCAGGUAUCCAGGGCCUUCAAGUUGCCUCCACGGCUCUGCUGCUGCUGCUACUGCUAAGUCGCUUCAGUCGUGUCCGACUCUGCGAGACCCUAUAGACGGCAGCCCACCAGGCUCCCCCGUCCCUGGGAUUCUCCAGGCAAUAACACAGGAGUGGGGUUGCCAUUUCCUUCUCCAAUGCAUGAAAGUGAAAAGUGAAAGUGAAGUCGCUCAGUCGUGUCUGACUCUUAGCGACCCCAUGCACUGCAGCCUACCAGGCUCCUCCAUCCAUAGGAUUUUCCAGGCAAGAGUACUGGAGUGGGGUGCCAUUGCCUUCUCCGCCACAGCUCUGCAGCCUCUCUCAAUACUGUUUGCUUCCCCAUGAAAAGCCCCAUUCUUUUCUCUUACCCCAACAACCCUGCUCAAAACGUCCACCAGCGAGAAUCAUGGUGAUUAGGCUGUGACACUCAACUAUAACAGAUAAAUUUAACACAAAGGGAAUUCACAUAGAUAGGAAGCUCCAGGGCAAAUGAACUCCAAGAAUAGCUGGGUCCCGGGGUUUAGACACUGUUUUCAGAAAUCUAUCUCCAUUGCUCAGCAAUUCCUUUUUGGUCUUAACUUCAUUUUAAGGUGCUAUCUCCCUGUGUUAUAACAAACAGCACUGCCGGCACUCUGUUGUUUACACAGCUUGUGUUCUCAGUAAUUCCAAUAAAAAUCCCAAGCUGGACUUUGCUUGGC